CUAACAAAUGCAUGAAUGAAUAAGGUUUGUUAAGGAAUCAUGGCUAUUUUUGAUGGUUUAAUAUAGUUAAGCUAAUGCCAUGUGCGUUUAAGUAGACCAACAUUCCAUUUGGACAAAAGCAGAUGCAAGGCAGGAGUUCACAGAUAAACAUUCUUUUGGCAAGGCUGUAAUUUAGACCAGCCAUAAAACACAAAGCUCUUGAAAGGUUUUAAAUUAGGAGGCCAUAAAGAAUAUCUUCCCCGGCUCGCAGGUCAGAGGUCGGGGG